rnacentral:tRNA from 1 species
GCAUUAAUGGGGUAGCGGUAACCUCGUCCAUUGCCAUUCUGAAAAUAUUGGUCAGCGCCUGGACCCGCCGGGGGUUCAAUUCCCUCUCAAUGCA